ACCGAUAGUGAACCAGUACUGUGAAGGAAAGGUGAAAAGAACCCCGGGAGGGGAGUGAAAAGAAUCUGAAACUGUAUGCUUACAAAAAGUUAGAGCCCGUUAAAGGGUGAUAGCGUGCCUAUUGAAGAAUGAACCGGCGAGUUAUGAUGUGAUGCAAGGUUAAGCCGAAGAGGUGGAGCCGCAGCGAAAGCGCGUCUGAAUAGGGCGAAAGUAUCCCGUCAUAGACCCGAAACCCGACGAUCUAUCCAUGAGCAGGUUGAAGGUGGAGUACAAUCCACUGGAGGACCGAACCGACGUUCGUUGAAACGCCCGCGGAUGACUUGUGGAUAGGGGAGAAAUUCCAAUCGAGUUGGGAGAUAGCUGGUUCUCCUCGAAAUAGCUUUAGGGCUAGCGUAUGAUCAAUUGUUUGGUGGAGGUAGAGCACUGAAUGCCUGAUGGCCGCACCUAGCGGUACUGAAUGCAAUCAAACUCCGAAUUCCAUCAAAUCUACUCAUGCAGUCAGUCUGUGGGGGAUAAGCUCCAUGGACAAAAGGGAAACAGCCCAGACCAUCAAAUAAGGUCCCUAAAUUCAUGCUAAGUGUUAAAGGAUGUAGAGAUACUUAAACAGCUAGGAUGUUGGCUCAGAAGCAGCCACCAUUUAAAGAGUGCGUAACAGCUCACUAGUCGAGCGUCUCCGCGCCGAAGAUUUACCGGGGCUAAAGCAUGAUACCGAAUUUAUGGAUUUUAGAGUAAUCUAAAGUGGUAGAGGAGCGUUCCAUUUGCGGCGAAGCAAUACCGUAAGGAGUUGUGGAGCAUAUGGAAGUGAGAAUGCCGGUGUAAGUAACGAUAAUGGGUGAGAAUCCCAUUCACCAUUAGACUAAGGUUUCCUGGGGAAGGUUCGUCCUCCCAGGGUUAGUCGGGACCUAAGGCGAGGCCGAAAGGCGUAGUCGAUGGACAGCAGGUUUAUAUUCCUGCACCCGAAUAUAUGCGAUGUAGUGACAGAAAAGGCUAGUUGAUCCCUAUUAUUGGAUUUAGGGCAGAGCGGAGGACCUGUUGGAUUGGCAAAUCCGUCCAACAUUAAGGAAAGCCGUGCGGGAGCGAACAGGGCAACCUAAGUAGUGAAGUCAAUGAUGCCAGUUCUCUAGAAAAGCUGCUAGCUUAAGUAUAUUCGGCCCGUACCGAGAACGGACACACGUGGUCAAGGAGAGUAUCCUGAGGUGAGCGAGUUAACUGUUGUUAAGGAACUCUGCAAAAUUACUUCGUAAGUUCGCAAGAAGAAGUGCUCUCGAAAGAGAGUCGCAGUGAAGAGGCCCAGGUAACUGUUUAACAAAAACACAGCUUUAUGCUAAGCCGCAAGGCGAUGUAUAUGAGGUGAUGCCUGCCCAGUGCUGGAAGGUUAAAAGGAGGAGUUAGCCGCAAGGCGAAGCCCUGAUCUGAAGCCCCAGUGAACGGCGGCCGUAACUAUAACGGUCCUAAGGUAGCGAAAUUCCUUGUCAGGCAAGUUCUGACGCGCACGAAUGGUAUAAUAAUCUGGGCGCUGUCUCGACAGCAGACUCGGUGAAAUCUUAAUACCUGUGAAGAUGCAGGUUACCCGCGACUAGACGGAAAGACCCCAUGGAGCUUUACUAUAACUUAAUAUUGAUUGUCUGUGCUUUAUGCACAGGAUAGGUAGGAGACUUUGAAGCAGGAACUUUGGUUUCUGUGGAGUCAACCUUGGGAUACUACUCUUAAAUUGCGGACAAUCUAACCUACAACCUCACCGGUUGGGGAACAGUGUUAGGCGGGUAGUUUGACUGGGGCGGUCGCCUCCCAAAGUGUAACGGAGGCGCCCCAAGGUACCCUCAGUACGGUUGGAAAUCGUAUUUCGAGUGCAAAGGCAUAAGGGUGCUUGACUGCGAGACCUACAAGUCGAGCAGGGACGAAAGUCGGGCUUAGUGAUCCGGCGGUUCCGCGUGGAAGGGCCGUCGCUCAACGGAUAAAAGCUACCCUGGGGAUAACAGGCUGAUCUGAUCCAAGAGUUCACAUCGACGAUCAGGUUUGG
rnacentral:rRNA from 1 species